UACGUAGGGCGCAAGCGUUGUCCGGAAUUAUUGGGCGUAAAGAGCUCGUAGGCGGCUUGUCACGUCGGGUGUGAAAGCUCGGGGCUUAACCCCGGGUCUGCAUUCGAUAAGGGCUGGCUGGAGUGUGGUAGGGGAGAUCGGAAUUCCUGGUGUAGCGGUGAAAUGCGCAGAUAUCAGGAGGAACACCGAUGGCGAAGGCAGGUCUCUGGGCAGUAACUGACGCUGAGGAGCGAAAGCAUGGGGAGCGAACAGG
rnacentral:rRNA from 1 species